rnacentral:lncRNA from 1 species
CAGCUGCCUUCUACUCUUCCCGCACAACCAACCAGACACCAAUUGUCACCGCAUCUCAUCUCCCCGCCAGAGAGUAUCCACCGCCAUCUCCCCCAGACACCUCCCCUCCAUGCCAUGGCGAAGCCCGCCCACUCCUCUCCCCAUCAUCUGCCCUCUCAUCCAUGGCUCCGCCGCCUCGACGCUGAGCUAGCCCACCGGUCUAGCAUCGUGGAUAGUUGGGUCCUCCCUGGAGGUGCAAAAGGGAUCGCAACCGUCUGUUAGUGCUAGCCAUGUAGCUGACCCAUUCGUAUGUGAGUUGCACAACCUCAUGUGGCACUGCGAGGAGGGAUACACCUUCAUCAUCGAGGUUGCUCACCCCAGGCCGAUUUCCGGUGCCAUGGAGUGCACGUUGUCAUGCUAGGGCAGCCGCCAAGGAGAUGCGACCUUCUAAUCAUUUUCCUUGCCCAAACCAUUCAAAUCCGAUGUAGCUGCCAGCAUGUCUAUCGUUCCUAUCGAUUAGCUUUAUGGAUUACAUGAGAAGACUUUUACGUGUGCGCGCGUCGCAACACGUGAUAGGCUUGCAAGCGCAAUCCUAAUCCCCCUAAUUUUAGUUGUGAAGCUGAAUAUCUAAUCUCAUUAAUCCAUCUCCCUUGAUUUUCAGAGCAUGGAUUUCUAUGCAUCUCUCCAAUCUCUUGUCCCAGAUUUUUAGGGAAAGUUUANNNNNNNNNNGGCUGAAUAUCUAAUCUCAUUAAUCCAUCUCCCUUGAUUUUCAGAGCGUGGAUGUCUAUGCAUCUCUCCAAUCUCUUGUCCCAGAUUUUUAGGGAAAGUUUAAUAGCAACCUGAUGAGAGACGACCUCUAGUUCAUGCACAUGCCAUUUCCUCAUACUAUCUGAAGGGAGUAUCAAAAUCAUAAUUGCGUAGCUUUUAGUUUUUUGCUAAAAGUUUAGGCGCAUCAUUUUUUUUGCGCCGGGCAUGAAGGAAAAACAUUUAUCUAGACAUUUGAAAGAUGCAGCAGUGAGACUCUCAUAACAACCAGUUCCGAUUGAACAUACAACCCUUGAACAGGGUGGAGCCCCGCCAUAGGUCCACUAUAUUGGUUACAAAUUUACAAUUCUCUAACAACUUUGUGCCAUUUUUGGACUAUUUGUUAAAACUAAGAUGAUAUUUAAGUUAAAUUAUAUUAACUGACACCCCACUACUAUGAUCGUAGGCUAGUCAUUUCCAUGGGACAUGCAAACUAGUUAUACUAAAAAAUGCAAACUAGUUAUACUAUAUUGGUUACAAAUUUACAAUUCUCUAACAACUUUGUGCCAUUUUUGGACUAUUUGUUAAAACUAAGAUGAUAUUUAAGUUAAAUUAUAUUAACUGACACCCCACUGCUAUGAUCGUAGGCUAGUCAUUUCCAUCGGACAUGCAAACUAUUUAUACUAAAAAAUGCAAACUAGUUAUACUAUAUUGGUUACAAGUUUACAAUUCUCUAACAACUUUGUGCCAUUUUUGGACUAUUUGUUAAANNNNNNNNNNNNNNNNNNNNNNNNNNNNNNNNNNNNNNNNNNNNNNNNNNNNNNNNNNNNNNNNNNNNNNNNNNNNNNNNNNNNNNNNNNNNNNNNNNNGGGACAUGCAAGUUGAUCGUCCUGUCAUGCAAUUAGUCUAUGAAGUCUACGCGGUGCUAGUAUUCUGAUAUACAUUGCGGGUCUGGUUAUUCUAUUUUCUUGUAGUGUAGUAUGACCAGUCAAGUGUUCACAUGUAUAUUUAAUUUUCCAUGUUGGCAGGGUUGCGUGUUAGAAAAAGGCAUAUCUAUAUAUGCACGUCAUUACGGCAGGGUUGCCUAGCUAGCUGUACGUGUGAUGGAUGAACUAGGAUAUACUAAUGUGGAUUCAUCCAGAACUUGCUAUCUCAAGCUGUCUGAAUUUCACAUAUUGUUGGUGUUUCACUAAUCACAUAAAGAUACUACUUGUAAAUUAGUACUUCCUCGGUUCCUGAAUAUAAGUUUUUUUUCUUCAAAUAUUCUACUAAGAACUACAUGCCAAUAAAAAUAAAUGAAUCUAUAAUUUAAAUUAUGUCUAUAUACAUCCGUAUAUAGUUCGUAGUAAAAUAUCUAGNNNNNNNNNNAAAUAUUCUACUAUGAACUACAUACCAAUAAAAAUAAAUGAAUCUACAAUUCAAAUUAUGUCUAUAUACAUCCGUAUAUAGUUCGUAGUAAAAUAUCUAGAAACACUUAUAUUUAGAAAUGGAGGGAGUAUAAUACAUUUAUUCUAGAUCACUAGUCUAUGUCUAUACUUAUUAAUAAAAGGAUAAAUGUCUCUACCCGUCCGUCGUACCUUUUGGAAACAAAUAAACCCAAUUGUUUCUUGAAAUCAACGCACGGUCCUGAUUUUAAGUGAAUCUUAAAUUUUUUUUGUAUUUUACUAAAAACUUCCUAACCUUUCGGUUAAACGACCUACU